AACGAACGCUGGCGGCGUGGAUAAGACAUGCAAGUCGAACGGGAACUUUCGCUGUAGCAAUACAGUGAAAGUUCUAGUGGCGAACGGGUGCGUAACACGUGGACAAUCUGCCUUAAAGUGGGGGAUAGCUCGGCGAAAGCCGAAUUAAUACCGCAUGUGAUGAGAGACGACAUCGUCUUGAAAUCAAAGCCGGGGCAACCUGGCGCUUUUUGAGGAGUCCGCGGCCUANCAGCUAGUUGGUGAGGUAACGGCUCACCAAGGCUAUGACGGGUAGCUGGUCUGAGAGGACGACCAGUCACACUGGAACUGAGACACGGUCCAGACACCUACGGGUGGCAGCAGUCGAGUAAUUUUUUC
rnacentral:rRNA from 1 species